rnacentral:lncRNA from 1 species
GUUCUGGAAUUAGAUAAUGGUGAUAGUUGCACAACCUUAUAAAUAUGCUGGAAAACAUUGUACACUUUAAGAGGGUGAAUGUUGUGGUAUGUGAAUUCCAUCUCAAUUAAAAAAGCAGUUUAGGACCUGCUACAGAGGGCCCUAUAUGCUAUGCUGAGGGCACUUAAUGCUGGAGACACCAAGCGGUCACCAAGUGCUUUUAAUACGCCAGUAAUAAUGAAAAAAUAAUACAAAAUAAUUAAAAUAAAAAAUAAUAAUAGCAGUAAUAAGAACAGUAAUGAAAGUGAGAACAAUAGCUCCCUUAGACAGCACUUAAUGUGCAUUACCUGCACCAUCUGCCCUGAGCACCUGUUUAAACACAUGACCACCUGACAGUCUCGUCUGCAUUGUUGUUGAUAGUCCCUAGGACUUGUUAUUUUGUUUAUUGUUUGUCUUCCCCAUGACUAAAAUGUAAGUUCCAUAAGAGCACGGGAUUUUUUUUUUUUUUGAGGAGGAUUAGCCCUGAGCUAACUGCUGCCAAUCCUCCUCUUUUUGCUGAGGAAGACUGGCCCUGAGCUCACAUCUGUGCCCAUCUUCCUCUACUUUAUAUGUGGGACACCUGCCACAGCAUGGCUUGCCAAGCGGUGCCAUGUCUGCACUCGGAAUCUGAACCCCUGGCCGCCGAAGCGGAACAUGUGAACUUAACUGCUGCACCACUGGGCCGGCCCCAAGAACAGGGGAUUUUGUGUAUUCUAUUCACUACUUUAUCUCAAGUGUCCAGAACAGUGCCGGGCCUAUAAUGGGUGCUAAAUAAAUACCUAACAAGUGAAUGCUGUUGAUUAAGAGAACCUGAGAUCACAUAGAACAAGCAACUUAUUUUACAGCUGAGGAAAGGGAGUUGGGUCCAGAGAGAAGGUACAUGACUCAAGCAAAGCCAAUGAAACUCCCUUCUGGGAUUUUGCUGAAAGUAUUAAGGAGAAAUUCUCAGCAGGGUUUCUAAGCUGGUGGAAUGCAGGCUUGGAACUGCCGAUGGCCAUCUUUGCCACUACUUGGGAAGAGCCAGCCUGAGAAUGAAGACAAGACAGAGAGAAGCAGAGCCUAGAGAUGAAAAUUUGGAGAGCCAUGAGGACUGACAUCUGGGGGCUGAAAUAACACUUGGAGAUCAGGUUUCCAGUGUGAUCAGGGCUCCAGGCUUAAAGAUUGUUCUGAUCUUCAUUCGUGGUCAUGAGCAGGACCCGGGGAGGGGCUGAUCUCUUGACUGCAGUUGGCUUGUCACACGCUGGUCUUCUCUAUAAAAAUCUUAGCCCCAGCUCCUGAUGGUGGAGCGCUGCUGACCACUUCCAGUUUGGCACUGCUGGAUUUGAAUCGAUUUUUG